UUUUUUUUUUUUCUUGAAUUAUUUUCUGGCAAACAAAAUUCAACAGUCAUUUAAGUUUCUUUUUAAAAACACAGUAGUAAUAAAAACAUGAAGAGGAUAAAAUGCUGGAAAUAUGAAAAAAGUAUUUUAUAUUAUAAAUAAAUAAAUAAAUAAACAGUAUAUACACUGUUAUCCUUCUUAAAUGUGUUUCAUGAGUUUUAUGUUGUUUUUUUUUUUUUUUGUUUUGUUUUUUUUUUUUUGCACUAAGUAUUGUCAAUAUACUAUAGCUAAUAUUUCAAAACAUUUUUAUUGACAAUAUAACAAACAGAACAACUUUGCUUUGAAACUUUAUGUUGGAACUUGGAUCCACCACCUAUUUACCCAAUUGCACUAAAUACAGUUGUGGCCCUUAGCGGAAUUCUUCAUAACUUCCGUACAUGUCGGUGGGACUAAAGCAUGCAGUUUGUUGCAAGGGAUUUUUCAUGAAUUUACACAAAUGGCUUACCAGCAACUCUUCUGAAGCCUUCCUUGACUUUGGUAGCGAGUUCACCUGAAGGGAAUUUAAUCAGAUUCAUGAAAACUGUGAUGAUGGCCCUCGCUACUGCUUUCACAACCCUCCCAGUCGUGCAUUCCGAUACGUCCAGACUGUCCCCAAUAAGUCUUAAGUGGGCUCCUGUGGCAACAAAACGUAGGAAUAGCAGCACCUGGAUCAACGGAGGAAUAGGACGGUUCCUGGCAGUGUCUUUUUGAAGGUGAUCAUGGACGCCAUUCACAAUAAACAGGAUGCUGGCUGGGGAAAAACGAUAUCUCUGGAAAAUCUCUCCUUCCUCCAAAGACUCUAAGGGGUUACUGAGAUCCCGAAAUACCCUUGGGUGCCUCAAAACAGCUCGAUUCAGCCUCCUACGACGUCGACGGAAGAUAAUGGCAGCCAUUUUCAAUGCUUGAGAAUGGACUUAAGUUUGCUUUGUAGUAAACUCAAAUAUUUGAGAAUAAAAUAGAUUUUGAGAAUUUUUA